UGGAAUGAAACUCUGGAGAACCGAGUCCUCUGUUUAGCCCCAGAGCAGGUACAGCACAGGUAGGAGUGGUGCAAGCUUCACUCAUGCUGUACCCACCAAAGUACCUCAAGCCUGAAUCUCGGAGAGACAAUAUCCUCUAGAGACAGGGUGGGAGGAGCUCAGCUUCGAGGUAUCUCUUCCUUCCUCAGUCCCU
rnacentral:sRNA from 1 species